rnacentral:rRNA from 1 species
UACGUAGGGGGCUAGCGUUGUCCGGAAUCAUUGGGCGUAAAGCGCGUGUAGGCGGUCCGAUAAGUCCGCUGUGAAAGUCGAGGGCUCAACCCUCGAAUGCCGGUGGAUACUGUCGGGCUUGAGUACGGGAGAGGCGAGUGGAAUUCCUGGUGUAGCGGUGAAAUGCGCAGAUAUCAGGAGGAACACCGAUGGCGAAGGCAGGUCUCUGGGCCAUUACUGACACUGAGAAGCGAAAGCAUGGGGAGCGAACAGG